GUCGUAGACCCGAAACCAGGUGAUCUACCCUUGGUCAGGUUGAAGUUCAGGUAACACUGAAUGGAGGACCGAACCGACUUACGUUGAAAAGUGAGCGGAUGAACUGAGGGUAGCGGAGAAAUUCCAAUCGAACCUGGAGAUAGCUGGUUCUCUCCGAAAUAGCUUUAGGGCUAGCCUCAAGUGAUGAUUAUUGGAGGUAGAGCACUGUUUGGACGAGGGGCCCCUCUCGGGUUACCGAAUUCAGACAAACUCCGAAUGCCAAUUAAUUUAACUUGGGAGUCAGAACAUGGGUGAUAAGGUCCGUGUUCGAAAGGGAAACAGCCCAGACCACCAGCUAAGGUCCCAAAAUAUAUGUUAAGUGGAAAAGGAUGUGGCGUUGCCCAGACAACUAGGAUGUUGGCUUAGAAGCAGCCAUCAUUUAAAGAGUGCGUAAUAGCUCACUAGUCGAGUGACACUGCGCCGA
rnacentral:rRNA from 1 species